rnacentral:rRNA from 1 species
CAGGACGAACGCUGGCGGCGUGCCUAACACAUGCAAGUCGAGCGAGGAGAUCCUCGGGAUGAUCCUAGCGGCGGACGGGUGAGUAACACGUGGGCAACCUGCCUCAUAGAGAGGAAUAGCCUUCCGAAAGGGAGAUUAAUACCUCAUAACAUUGCAGUUUCGCAUGGAACAGCAAUUAAAGGAGUAAUCCGCUAUGAGAUGGGCCCGCGGCGCAUUAGCUAGUUGGUGAGGUAAUGGCUCACCAAGGCGACGAUGCGUAGCCGACCUGAGAGGGUGAUCGGCCACAUUGGGACUGAGACACGGCCCAGACUCCUACGGGAGGCAGCAGUGGGGAAUAUUGCACAAUGGGGGAAACCCUGAUGCAAGCAACGCCGCGUGAGUGAUGACGGCCUUCGGGUUGUAAAGCUCUGUCUUCAGGGACGAUAAUGACGGUACCUGAGGAGGAAGCCACGGCUAACUACGUGCCAGCCGCAGC